rnacentral:rRNA from 1 species
CUGGUCUUGACAUCCACAGAACUUUCCAGAGAUGGAUUGGUGCCUUCGGGAACUGUGAGACAGGUGCUGCAUGGCUGUCGUCAGCUCGUGUUGUGAAAUGUUGGGUUAAGUCCCGCAACGAGCGCAACCCUUAUCCUUUGUUGCCAGCGGUCCGGCCGGGAACUCAAAGGAGACUGCCAGUGAUAAACUGGAGGAAGGUGGGGAUGACGUCAAGUCAUCAUGGCCCUUACGACCAGGGCUACACACGUGCUACAAUGGCGCAUACAAAGAGAAGCAAUCUCGCGAGAGCUAGCGGACCUCAUAAAGUGCGUCGUAGUCCGGAUUGGAGUCUGCAACUCGACUCCAUGAAGUCGGAAUCGCUAGUAAUCGUGAAUCAGAAUGUCACGGUGAAUACGUUCCC